rnacentral:rRNA from 1 species
CGAAAGCCUGAUGCAGCGACGCCGCGUGAGGGAUGACGGCCUUCGGGUUGUAACCUCUUUCAGCAGGGAAGAAGCGAAAGUGACGGUACCUGCAGAAGAAGCGCCGGCUAACUACGUGCCAGCAGCCGCGGUAAUACGUAGGGCGCAAGCGUUAUCCGGAAUUAUUGGGCGUAAAGAGCUCGUAGGCGGUUUGUCGCGUCUGCUGUGAAAGCCCGGGGCUCAACCCCGGGUCUGCAGUGGGUACGGGCAGACUAGAGUGCAGUAGGGGAGACUGGAAUUCCUGGUGUAGCGGUGAAAUGCGCAGAUAUCAGGAGGAACACCGAUGGCGAAGGCAGGUCUCUGGGCUGUAACUGACGCUGAGGAGCGAAAGCAUGGGGAGCGAACAGGAUUAGAUACCCUGGUAGUCCAUGCCGUAAACGUUGGGCACUAGGUGUGGGGGACAUUCCACGUUUUCCGCGCCGUAGCUAACGCAUUAAGUGCCCCGCCUGGGGAGUACGGCCGCAAGGCUAAAACUCAAAGGAAUUGACGGGGGCCCGCACAAGCGGCGGAGCAUGCGGAUUAAUUCGAUGCAACGCGAAGAACCUUACCAAGGCUUGACAUGAACCGGUAAGACCUGGAAACAGGUCCCCCACUUGUGGCCGGUUUACAGGUGGUGCAUGGUUGUCGUCAGCUCGUGUCGUGAGAUGUUGGGUUAAGUCCCGCAACGAGCGCAACCCUCGUUCUAUGUUGCCAGCGGGUUAUGCCGGGGACUCAUAGGAGACUGCCGGGGUCAACUCGGAGGAAGGUGGGGACGACGUCAAAUCAUCAUGCCCCUUAUGUCUUGGGCUUCACGCAUGCUACAAUGGCCGGUACAAAGGGUUGCGAUACUGUGAGGUGGAGCUAAUCCCAAAAAGCCGGUCUCAGUUCGGAUUGAGGUCUGCAACUCGACCUCAUGAAGUUGGAGUCGCUAGUAAUCGCAGAUCAGCAACGCUGCGGUGAAUACGUUCCCGGGCCUUGUACACACCGCCCGUCAAGUCACGAAAGUUGGUAACACCCGAAGCCGGUGGCCUAACCC